rnacentral:rRNA from 1 species
AUUGAACGCUGGCGGCAUGCCUUACACAUGCAGGUCGAACGGCAGCACGGGAGCUUGCUCCUGGUGGCGAGUGGCGAACGGGUGAGUAAUACAUCGGAACGUACCCAGGAGUGGGGGAUAACGUAGCGAAGGUUACGCUAAUACCGCAUAUUCUGUGAGCAGGAAAGCGGGGGAUCGCAAGACCUCGCGCUCUUGGAGCGGCCGAUGUUGGAUUAGCUAGUUGGUGAGGUAAAAGGUCACCAAGGCGACGAUACGUAGCAGGUCUGAGAGGAUAGUCGGCCACACUGGGACUGAGACACGGCCCAGACUCCUACGGGAGGCAGCAGUGGGGAAUUUUGGACAAUGGGGGCAACCCUGAUCCAGCCAUGCCGCGUGAGUGAAGAAGGCCUUCGUGUUGUAAAGCUCUUUCGGCGGGGAAGAAAUGGCAACGGCUAAUAUCCGUUGUUGAUGACGGUACCCGCAUAAGAAGCACCGGCUAACUACGUGCCAGCCGCCGCCGUAA